UACGUAGGCAGCGAGCGUUGUUCGGAAUUACUGGGCGUAAAGAGUGUGUAGGCGGUGCUCUAAGUUCGGUGUGAAAUCUCCCGGCUUAACUGGGAGGUGCGCCGGAAACUGGAGUGCUCGAGCGUGGGAGAGGAAAGCGGAAGUUCCUGGUGUAGCGGUGAAAUGCGUAGAUAUCAGGAGGAACACCUGCGGUGUAGACGGCUUUCUGGACCAUUGCUGACGCUGAGACACGAAAGCGUGGGUAGCAAACAGG
rnacentral:rRNA from 1 species